GGGGAUAUAGCUCAGUUGAUAGAGUGCUUGCCUCACAUGCAAAAGACUCUGGGCUCAAUCCCCAAUACCACCA
rnacentral:tRNA from 1 species